rnacentral:rRNA from 1 species
UUGACGGGGGCCCGCACAAGCGGUGGAGCAUGUGGUUUAAUUCGACGUAACGCGAAGAACCUUACCAGGGCUUGACAUCUUCUGACUGCUUAGGAACUUAAGCUUCCGGGGAGUUUACUUUCCGGACAGAAAGACAGGUGGUGCAUGGUUGCCGUCAGCUCGUGUCGUGAGAUGUUGGGUUAAGUCCCGCAACGAGCGCAACCCUUAUCCCCAGUUGCCAUCAGGUAAAGCUGGGAACUCUGGGGAGACUGCCGGUGAUAAACCGGAGGAAGGCGGGGAUGACGUCAAGUCCUCAUGGCCCUUACAUCCCGGGCUACACACGUGCUACAAUGGCAGGUACAGAGGGCUGCGAAGCCGCGAGGUGGAGCGAAUCCCAGAAAACCUGUCUCAGUCCGGAUUGAAGUCUGCAACUCGACUUCAUGAAGGCGGAAUCGCUAGUAACCGCGAAUCAGCAGGUCGCGGUGAAUACGUUCCCGGGCCUU